CCUGAACGAUGACGAGGCAGCCUCUGGCUGAAACAGAUUAUCGCCUUAUCCAAGUGGCCGAUCAGAGGACCAUUGAAUGAGGCGCGUGCACGAUUCGCCCCCGUGGAGAAAUUUCAUUCGGCUGUUUAGCUUAUUGCAGAUUCCCGGUCGGAAUAUUAUUGCUUUUCUACGAGAUAAAUGGCAUAAAAAUUGGUUUUAAACAGCGGUUGACAUGCUUCGAAGUACGGUAAUGGAAUAUUUAGACAUUUUUUGUCACGCCAUGCGCACGACCGUUAUUUACCAUUCGUAUAGUGUCUAGAACGCACGAACAAAACAGAGGAUAUUUGGAUAUAACGAUGGAUUAUUUGGGACCAAACCUACAUUUGUUAUUGAAGUAGAAGUCCUGGGAGUGCAUUCUGACGAAGAACAGGAAAGGACCUGAGCCCUAGGACCAUGCCUCAGGACUACAUGACAGGAUGACUCCUUGCUGUCCCCAGUCCGCCUGGCCGUGCUGCUGCUCCAGUUUCAACUGUUCUGCCUGCGGCUAUGGAACCCUGACCUGUUCACCAGACGUGCUACCUGUCCCAGACCUGCUGUUUUCAACUCUCUAGAGACAGCAGGAGCGGUAGAGAUACUCUCAAUGAUCGGCUAUGAAAAGCCAACUGACAUUUACUCUUGAGUUUCAGCAGAGGGAGAGACCUGCCUUUCCUCCAGUGAGACUGACCAGAGAGAUGGGACACCGUCUUCCACCUGAUGGCAAAACUCGAGUCGCAUCGCAUUAUUUCUGCCUUAUGCACAAAUUGAUGUU
rnacentral:lncRNA from 1 species